rnacentral:hammerhead_ribozyme from 1 species
AUCCAGCUGAAGAGUCCCAAAUAGGACGAUACGCGCGUCCUGGAU